GACGAACGCUAGCGGGAUGCCUUACACAUGCAAGUCGAACGGAGUGGCGAACGGGUGAGUAAUGUAUCGGAACGUGCCCAGUAGCGGGGGAUAACUAAGCGAAAGCGUAGCUAAUACCGCAUACUAUUGGAGCGGCCGAUAUCGGAUUAGACAGUUGGUGGGGUAACGGCGCACAAAGGCGACGAUCCGUAGCUGGUUUGAGAGGACGACCAGCAACACUGGGACUGAGACACGGCCCGGACUCCUACGGAGGGCAGCAGUGGGGAAUAUUGCACAAGGGGCGCAAGCCGGAUGCAGCCAUGCCGCGUGUAUGAAGAAGGCCUUAGGGUUGUAAAGUACUUUCAGCGGGGAGGCGUUACCCGCAGAAGAAGCAACGGCUAACUCCGUGCCAGCAGCCGCGGUAAUAC
rnacentral:rRNA from 1 species